rnacentral:rRNA from 1 species
AUUGAACGCUGGCGGCAGGCUUAACACAUGCAAGUCGAGCGGAGUGAUGGUGCUUGCACUAUCACUUAGCGGCGGACGGGUGAGUAAUGCUUAGGAAUCUGCCAUUUAGUGGGGGACAACAUUCCGAAAGGAAUGCUAAUACCGCAUACGUCCUACGGGAGAAAGCAGGGGAUCUUCGGACCUUGCGCUAAAUGAUGAGCCUAAGUCGGAUCAGCUAGUUGGUGGGGUAAAGGCCUACCAAGGCGACGAUCUGUAGCGGGUCUGAGAGGAUGAUCCGCCACACUGGGACUGAGACACGGUCCAGACUCCUACGGGAGGCAGCAGUGGGGAAUAUUGGACAAUGGGCGGAAGCCUGAUCCAGCCAUGCCGCGUGUGUGAAGAAGGCCUUUUGGUUGUAAAGCACUUUAAGCGAGGAGGAGGCUACUAGUACUAAUACUACUGGAUAGUGGACGUUACUCGCAGAAUAAGCACCGGCUAACUCUGUGCCAGCAGCCGCGGUAACAC